rnacentral:rRNA from 1 species
ACGAACGCUGGCGGCGUGCUUAACACAUGCAAGUCGCACGGAAAGACCCUGCUUUUGUGGGGUGCUCGAGUGGCGAACGGGUGAGUAACACGUGAGUAACCUGCCCUUGACUUUGGGAUAACUUCAGGAAACUGGGGCUAAUACCGGAUAGGAGCUCCUGCUGCAUGGUGGGGGUUGGAAAGUUUCGGCGGUUGGGGAUGGACUCGCGGCUUAUCAGCUUGUUGGUGGGGUAGUGGCUUACCAAGGCUUUGACGGGUAGCCGGCCUGAGAGGGUGACCGGCCACAUUGGGACUGAGAUACGGCCCAGACUCCUACGGGAGGCAGCAGUGGGGAAUAUUGCACAAUGGGCGGAAGCCUGAUGCAGCAACGCCGCGUGCGGGAUGACGGCCUUCGGGUUGUAAACCGCUUUCGCCUGUGACGAAGCGUGAGUGACGGUAAUGGGUAAAGAAGCACCGGCUAACUACGUG